AUUACGGGGCGCAGCAGGCGCGAAAACUUUACAAUGCGGGAAACCGUGAUAAGGGAAUCUCGAGUGCCAGCAUAUAAUGUUGGCUGUCCAGAUGCCUAAAAAGCAUCUGUUAGCAAGGGCCGGGCAAGACCGGUGCCAGCCGCCGCGGUAACACCGGCGGCCCGAGUGGUAACCGUUAUUAUUGGGUCUAAAGGGUCUGUAGCCGGCCGGAUAAGUCUCUUGAGAAAUCUGGCAGCUUAACUGUCAGGCUUUCAGGAGAUACUGUCUGGCUCGAGGCCGGGAGAGGUGAGAGGUACUUCAGGGGUAGGGGUGAAAUCUUGUAAUCCUUGAAGGACCACCAGUGGCGAAGGCGUCUCACCAGAACGGACCUGACGGCAAGGGACGAAAGCUAGGGGCACGAACCGGAUUAGAUACCCGGGUAGUCCUAGCCGUAAACGAUACUCGCUAGGUGUCGGCCACGGUGCGACCGUUGUCGGUGCCGUAGGGAAGCCGUGAAGCGAGCCACCUGGGAAGUACGGCCGCAAGGCUGAAACUUAAAGGAAUUGGCGGGGGAGCACAAU
rnacentral:rRNA from 1 species